rnacentral:lncRNA from 1 species
CCUGACUAUUUUUAGAACACCUACUUAAAGUUGAAUGGGGAGAUCUGUCCAUUUUUAGAGCUAAUCACCAAAAGUAUAAACAUCCCACUUAUUCAUUAAGUGGGAGGUCUGUGACCCACAUGUGCAAUAGUGGGUGAUGAAUAAGAAUCGACUGACUCCUGGGCAGUACUAAGCAAGGCUUUAAACUAUGAUUUGUCCACAUAAAAAGUGGAGGAAGACACAGGAAGUGAUGUGAGAUAAAGUGUCUUUAAAAGGGAAUGACAACUUCCUGAAGGAGUUCUAUUGGGACUUCAUUCUUUGGAGUGGAGGUUGAAGGAGAAAUCUGCUGACUGGACCUGAGACCCUAUUCCUGAUGAUAUUGUUGGACUGACACAUGAAACACUGAAGACUGCAUUACUCAAUAACUUACAAGCUGAAACUCUUUCCAGGCUUGCUUUCACAAGAAAAUGGAUAUUUUUCAAGCUGAACUCCUUAUGGCAUGGACUUGAGGGCCAUUAUCAUUCUCUUUGCUCUUCUAUGGAUGCUCUCCAGUUUGCCUUUAAAUGAGACUGCUGCCACACUCUCUGAUACUGCUAAAAGGAACUUCAGAAAUGGAAAACCUUUCUGGACAUCUUUGAAAAACUUCCACAGAACAUGGUGCAGCCCAGACUCAUGGUUGGUUAGGAGGACAAAGUCAGUGUGUAACCCUUGUGUCAGGAGUUUUCACAUGAUCUGGAGGAUUCUCAUGCAGACAUUUGCAGAGGCUAUUUCAAACAAAGGAAGGUAG